CCUACGGGAGGCAGCAGUGGGGAAUUUUGGACAAUGGGCGAAAGCCUGAUCCAGCAAUGCCGCGUGCAGGAUGAAGGCCUUCGGGUUGUAAACUGCUUUUGUACGGAGCGAAACGGUUCGCCUUAAUACGGUGGGCUAAUGACGGUACCGUAAGAAUAAGCACCGGCUAACUACGUGCCAGCAGCCGCGGUAAUACGUAGGGUGCGAGCGUUAAUCGGAAUUACUGGGCGUAAAGCGUGCGCAGGCGGUUAUAUAAGACAGAUGUGAAAUCCCCGGGCUCAACCUGGGACCUGCAUUUGUGACUGUAUAGCUAGAGUACGGUAGAGGGGGAUGGAAUUCCGCGUGUAGCAGUGAAAUGCGUAGAUAUGCGGAGGAACACCGAUGGCAAAGGCAAUCCCCUGGACCUGUACUGACGCUCAUGCACGAAAGCGUGGGGAGCAAACAGGAUUAGAUACCCUGGUAGUCCACGCCCUAAACGAUGUCAACUGGUUGUUGGGUCUUCACUGACUCAGUAACGAAGCUAACGCGUGAAGUUGACCGCCUGGGGAGUACGGCCGCAAGGUUGAAACUCAAAGGAUUGACGGCUGAGAGNGCGAGCGACGACGAGGGAGGAGG
rnacentral:rRNA from 1 species